UUUCAAAAACAUCUUUUCUUGUUAGUUUCUGAAGUAUGGCCUGCCCGCUGACGUAUUUUGAGUUGAAGGGCCGCGGUAUUUUGACCGUGCAAAGGUAGCAUAGUCAUUAGUUCUUUAAUUGUGAUCUGGUAUGAAUGGCUUGACGAGACAUAGGCUGUCUUAGUGUGAAUUUAUUGUUGAAUUUGGAGUUUAAGUUAAAAUUCUUAGAUGUUUUUAUGGGACGAGAAGACCCUAUAGAGUUUUACAUUUGAUUGUGCAUUUCUUUUUGUUUGUUUUAGGUUUUUGCGUGUCUUUUGUUUUGUUGGGGUGAUGGGAGGAAUUUAUUUAACUCCUCUUUUUAUGUGAUAUAUUGAUUUAUAUUUGUUUUGAUCCAUUUAUUUUGAUUGUAAGACUAAAUUACCUUAGGGAUAACAGCGUUAUCCUCCCUGAGAGUUCUUAUUGGCGGGGGGGUUUGCGACCUCGAUGUUGGAUUAAGGUUUAUUUUUGGUGUAGGAGCUGAAUUGAUUAGGUCUGUUCGACCUUUAAAAUCUUACGUGAUCU
rnacentral:rRNA from 1 species